rnacentral:rRNA from 1 species
UCGGGUUGUAAACCUCUUUCAGUAGGGAAGAAGCGAAAGUGACGGUACCUGCAGAAGAAGCGCCGGCUAACUACGUGCCAGCAGCCGCGGUAAUACGUAGGGCGCAAGCGUUAUCCGGAAUUAUUGGGCGUAAAGAGCUCGUAGGCGGUUUGUCGCGUCUGCCGUGAAAGUCCGGGGCUCAACUCCGGAUCUGCGGUGGGUACGGGCAGACUAGAGUGAUGUAGGGGAGACUGGAAUUCCUGGUGUAGCGGUGAAAUGCGCAGAUAUCAGGAGGAACACCGAUGGCGAAGGCAGGUCUCUGGGCAUUAACUGACGCUGAGGAGCGAAAGCAUGGGGAGCGAACAGGAUUAGAUACCCUGGUAGUCCAUGCCGUAAACGUUGGGCACUAGGUGUGGGGGACAUUCCACGUUUUCCGCGCCGUAGCUAACGCAUUAAGUGCCCCGCCUGGGGAGUACGGCCGCAAGGCUAAAACUCAAAGGAAUUGACGGGGGCCCGCACAAGCGGCGGAGCAUGCGGAUUAAUUCGAUGCAACGCGAAGAACCUUACCAAGGCUUGACAUGGACUGGAAAUACCUGGAAACAGGUGCCCCGCUUGCGGCCGGUUCACAGGUGGUGCAUGGUUGUCGUCAGCUCGUGUCGUGAGAUGUUGGGUUAAGUCCCGCAACGAGCGCAACCCUCGUUCUAUGUUGCCAGCGCGUGAUGGCGGGGACUCAUAGGAGACUGCCGGGGUCAACUCGGAGGAAGGUGGGGACGACGUCAAAUCAUCAUGCCCCUUAUGUCUUGGGCUUCACGCAUGCUACAAUGGCCGGUACAAAGGGUUGCGAUACUGUGAGGUGGAGCUAAUCCCAAAAAGCCGGUCUCAGUUCGGAUUGGGGUCUGCAACUCGACCCCAUGAAGUCGGAGUCGCUAGUAAUCGCAGAUCAGCAACGCU